rnacentral:rRNA from 1 species
GACAGAGGUGCCAAGCGUUAGGCGGAAUCACCGGGCUUAAAGCGUGUGUAGGCGGAUCGUUAAGUACCUUGUGAAAUCCCACGGCUCAACCGUGGAACUGCUCGGUAUACUGGCGGUCUUGAGCCACCUAGGGGCAACUGGAACAAGCGGUGGAGCGGUGAAAUGCGUAGAUAUCAUUUGGAACGCCAAUGGUGAAAACAGGUAGCUGGGAGUGUGCUGACGCUGAGACACGAAAGCCAGGGGAGCAAACGGG